AUGCACGCUGGCGGCGUGCCUCAUACAUGCCAGUCGCGCGAACAGAUAAGGAGCUUGCUCCUUUGACGUUAGCGGCGGACGGGUGAGUAACACGUGGGUAACCUACCUAUAAGACUGGAAUAACUCCGGGAAACCGGGGCUAAUGCCGGAUAACAUUUAGAACCGCAUGGUUCUAAAGUGAAAGAUGGUUUUGCUAUCACUUAUAGAUGGACCCGCGCCGUAUUAGCUAGUUGGUAAGGUAACGGCUUACCAAGGCAACGAUACGUAGCCGACCUGAGAGGGUGAUCGGCCACACUGGAACUGAGACACGGUCCAGACUCCUACGGGAGGCAGCAGUAGGGAAUCUUCCGCAAUGGGCGAAAGCCUGACGGAGCAACGCCGCGUGAGUGAUGAAGGUCUUCGGAUCGUAAAACUCUGUUAUUAGGGAAGAACAAAUGUGUAAGUAACUGUGCACGUCUUGACGGUACCUAAUCAGAAAGCCACGGCUAACUACGUG
rnacentral:rRNA from 1 species